UACGGAGGAUGCGAGCGUUAUCCGGAUUUAUUGGGUUUAAAGGGUGCGUAGGCGGAUUAAUAAGUCAGUGGUGAAAUCCUGCAGCUUAACUGUGGAACUGCCAUUGAUACUGUUAGUCUUGAGUAUGGUCAAGGUAGGCGGAAUGUGUAAUGUAGCGGUGAAAUGCUUAGAUAUUACACAGAACACCGAUUGCGAAGGCAGCUUACUGGGCCAUUACUGACGCUGAUGCACGAAAGCGUGGGGAUCGAACA
rnacentral:rRNA from 1 species